GCCUGGGUGACUCAGUCGGUUAAGCACCUGACUUCAGUUCAGGUCAUGACCUCGGGGUUUGUGGGUUCGAACCCCGUGUCAGGCU
rnacentral:tRNA from 1 species